AUUAUAAUUAAUAUUUUAUAAAAUGAUAUAUUAAUAUUAAAUAAUAUAUAUAUAUUAUAUGUUUAUUAUAUUAUAUAAAUAUUAAAUAUAUAUUAUAUAUUAAUUAUUAUACUUAAUUAUAAUAAUAAUUAUUAUAUUUAUUUAAUUUUUUUAUUAUAAUUUUUAUUUUUUUUAUUUUCUUAGGACCUCAAAACUUUUCAUUUUUCGGUUUUCUGAACCCAGGUAAUGACAAUAGGAACGGCCGUGAGGCCAUUCGUCAUUUGCGCACGCUAGAGGUGAAAUUCUUGGACCGUCGCAAGACGAACUACUGCGAAGCAAUUUGCCAAGGAUGUUUUCAUUAAUCAAGAACGAAAGUUAGAGGUUCGAAGGCGAUCAGAUACCGCCCUAGUUCUAACCAUAAACGAUCUGACCAGCGAUCCGCCGGCGUUAUCCCAUGACCCGGCGGGCAGCUUCCGGGAAACCAAAGUCUUUGGGUUCCGGGGAAGUAUGUUGCAAAGCUGAAACUUAAAGGAAUUGACGGAAGGGCACCACCAGGAGUGGAGCCUGCGGCUUAAUUGACUCAACACGGGGAACCUCACCAGGCCCAGACACCGGAAGGAUUGACAGAUUGAGAGCUCUUUCUCGAUUCGGUGGGUGGUGGUGCAUGGCCGUUCUUAGUUGGUGGAGCGAUUUGUCUGGUUAAUUCCGAUAACGAACGAGACUCUGGCCUACUAACUAGUCGACGGAUCUCCAGCAAUUGGUGUCCAGUUCGCAGCUUCUUCUUAGAGGGAUAAGCGGCAACUUUAGCCGCACGAGAUUGAGCAAUAACAGGUCUGUGAUGCCCUUAGAUGUUCUGGGCCGCACGCGCGCUACACUGAAGGGAUCAACGUGUCCUCCCCUCCGAGAGGAGCGGGUAACCCGUUGAAAUCCUUUCAUGAUAGGGAUUGGGGUUUGCAAUUGUCUCCCAUGAACGAGGAAUUCCCAGUAAGCGCAAGUCAUGAGCUUGCGUUGAUUACGUCCCUGCCCUUUGUACACACCGCCCGUCGCUACUACCGAUUGAAUGAUUUAGUGAGGCCUUCGGACUGGCGCUCUGGAUGCCGGGCCACGCGGUUCCGCCGCUGGGCUUUCGGCGCCUCGAGCUGACGGGAAAGAUGUCCAAACUUGAUCAUUUAGAGGAAGUAAAAUCGUAACAAGGUUUCCGUAGGUGAACCUGCGGAAG
rnacentral:rRNA from 1 species